AGAACCUUACCAGGUCUUGACAUCCUCUGACAACCCUAGAGAUAGGGCUUUCCCUUCGGGGACAGAGUGACAGGUGGUGCAUGGUUGUCGUCAGCUCGUGUCGUGAGAUGUUGGGUUAAGUCCCGCAACGAGCGCAACCCUUGAUCUUAGUUGCCAGCAUUCAGUUGGGCACUCUAAGGUGACUGCCGGUGACAAACCGGAGGAAGGUGGGGAUGACGUCAAAUCAUCAUGCCCCUUAUGACCUGGGCUACACACGUGCUACAAUGGACAGAACAAAGGGCUGCGAGACCGCAAGGUUUAGCCAAUCCCACAAAUCUGUUCUCAGUUCGGAUCGCAGUCUGCAACUCGACUGCGUGAAGCUGGAAUCGCUAGUAAUCGCGGAUCAGCAUGCCGCGGUGAAUACGUUCCCGGGCCUUGUACACACCGCCCGUCACACCACGAGAGUUUGCAACACCCGAAGUCGGUGAGGU
rnacentral:rRNA from 1 species